rnacentral:tRNA from 1 species
UCUAAUAUGGCAGAUUAGUGCAAUGGAUUUAAGCUCCAUAUAUAAAGUAAUUAACUUUUAUUAGAA